CCAAAGAUGGCGGGCCUCCGUGCCCCCGUCCCCAACCCAUUGUUGACUUAAAACCCCCUUUUGCCUCGGGGGCAGAGCGUCCGCCGCCGCCGCCCCCGGAGGACCAUUUAACGCUGUCUCUUUGCGUCGGAGUAUUGAUUAAAUGAAUGA
rnacentral:misc_RNA from 1 species